rnacentral:tRNA from 1 species
CUGGGUGUAGCGCAGUUGGUAGCGCGCGCGGUUCGGGACUGCGAGGUCGUGUGUUCAAGUCACAUCACCCAGACCA